rnacentral:lncRNA from 1 species
AUGGGUCAUCCAACAGGCCAAUCUCUGGGCAACAUGGGUCAACAUGGGUCAUCCAAUAGGUCAAUCUCUGGGCAACAUGGGUCAUCCAACAUGGGUCAUCCAAUAAACCAAUCUCUGGGCAACAUGGGCCAUCCAAUAGGUCAAUCUCUGGGCAACAUGGGUCAACAUGGGUCAUCCAACAGGCCAAUCUCUGGGCAACAUGGGUCAUCCAACAGGCCAAUCUCUGGGCAACAUGGGUCAUUCAACAGGCCAAACUCUGGACAACAUGGGUCAUCCAAUAGGUCAAUCUCUGGGCAACAUGGGCCAUCCAAUAGGGCAAUCUCUGGGCAACAUGGGUCAGCAUGGGUCAUCCAAUAGGUCAAUCUCUGGACAACAUGGGUCAUCCAAUAGGCCAAUCUCUGGGUAACAUAGGUCACCCCUCAUAGCCUGGUUCCUCUCUAGGUUUUUCCUAGCCACUGUGCUUCUACACCUGCAUUGCUUGCUGUUUGGGAUUUUCUGUACAGCACUUUGUGACAUCAGCUGAUGUAAAAAGGGCUUUAUAAAUACAUGUGAUUGAUUGAUCCUACAGGCAAAUCUCUGGGCAACAUUGGUCAUCCAACAGGCCAAUCUCUGGGCAACAAGGGUCAUCCAACAGGCCAAUCUCUGGGCAACAAGGGUCAUCCAAUAGGUCAAUCUCUGGGCAACAUUGGUCAUCCAACAGGCCAAUCUCUGGGCAACAAGGGUCAUCCAAUAGGUCAAUCUCUGGGCAACAUGGGUCAUCCAACAGGCCAAUCUCUGGACAACAUGGGUCAUCCAACAGGACAAUCUCUGGACAACAGGGGUCAACAUGGGUCAUCCAACAGGCCAAUCUCUGGUCAACAUGGGUCAACAUGGGUCAUCCAACAGGCCAAUCUCUGGUCAACAUGGGUCAACAUGGGUCAUCCAACAGGCCAAUCUCUGGUCAACAUGGGUCAUCCAAGAUUAGCUUUCUGAAAGUAGAAAAUAUCAAUUUUAUUUUAACUGAAACCAAAGCAAAUUGUAUUACAUUUGAAAUUAAAUCAAUAUAUUUCAGUAGAUUGCUCAUUGUA